AACUACGUGCCAGCAGCCGCGGUAAGACGUAGGACGCAAGCGUUAUCCGGAUUUACUGGGCGUAAAGCGCCUGUAGGCGGUCAAGUAAGUCGGAUGUGAAAGCCCCGUGCUCAACGCGGGGAAGCCAUUCGAUACUGCGUGACUAGAGAACGGCAGAGGGAAACGGAAUUUCUGGUGUAGCGGUAAAAUGCGCAGAGAUCAGAAAGAACACCGAUGGCGAAGGCAGUUUCCUAGGCCGCAUCUGACGCUGAGAGGCGAAAGCUAGGGGAGCAAACAGGAUUAGAGACCCUGGUAGUCCUAGCUGUAAACGAUGGAUGCUAGGUGUGGGCCGGAAAGGUCCGUGCCGUAGUUAACGCGAUAAGCAUCCCGCCUGGGGAGUACGGCCGCAAGGCUAAAACUCAAACGAAUUGACGGGGACCCGCACAAGCAGCGGAGCGUGUGGUUUAAUUCGAUGCUACACACAGAACCUUACCUGGGCUUGACAUGUAGGUGGUAGUGAAGUGAAAGCGGAGCGACCCUUCGGGGAGCCUACACAGGUGCUGCAUGGCUGUCGUCAGCUCGUGCCGUGAGGUGUCGGGUUAAGUCCCGUAACGAGCGCAACCCUUGUCCUUAGUUACAAGUGUCUAAGGAGACUGCCGGUGACAAACCGGAGGAAGGUGGGGAUGACGUCAAGUCAGCAUGGCCCUUAUGUCCAGGGCGACACACACGCCACAAUGGUCGGUACAAUGGGCAGCGCAGCCGCGAGGUGAAGCGAAUCCCAACAAAGCCGAUCCCAGUUCGGAUCGCAGGCUGCAACCCCCC
rnacentral:rRNA from 1 species